rnacentral:rRNA from 1 species
AUUGAACGCUGGCGGCAUGCCUUACACAUGCAAGUCGAACGGCAGCACGGGGCAACCUGGUGGCGAGUGGCGAACGGGUGAGUAAUGCAUCGGAACGUACCUUUCAGUGGGGGAUAACGUAGCGGAAGUUACGCUAAUACCGCAUAUUCUGUGAGCAGGAAAGCAGGGGAUCGCAAGACCUUGCGCUGAUUGAGCGGCCGAUGUCAGAUUAGCUAGUUGGUGAGGUAAAGGCCCACCAAGGCGACGAUCUGGAGCGGGUCUGAGAGGAUGAUCCGCCACACUGGAACUGCGACACGGUCCAGACUCCUACGGGAGGCAGCAGUGAGGAAUUUUGGACAAUGGGGGCAACCCUGAUCCAGCCAUGCCGCGUGAGUGAAGAAGGCCUUCGGGUUGUAAAGCUCUUUCGGCCGGGAAGAAAUCGCACGGGCUAAUACCCUGUGUGGAUGACGGUACCGGAAUAAGAAGCACCGGCUAACUACGUGCCAGCCGCCGCCGUAAGAC